ACCGUUUUGUGGGGGGAACAGCGGGAGGGAU
rnacentral:rRNA from 1 species